rnacentral:rRNA from 1 species
UACAGAGGGUGCGAGCGUUGUCCGGAAUCACUGGGCGUAAAGGGCGCGUAGGCGGCCCGGUAAGGUUGCGGUGAAAGCCCGGGGCUCAACCCCGGGUCGGCCGUGGCAACUGCUGGGCUGGAGCACAGUAGAGGCGGGUGGAAUUACGGGUGUAGCGGUGGAAUGCGUAGAGAUCCGGAAGAACACCGGUGGCGAAGGCGGCCCGCUGGGCUGUUGCUGACGCUGAGGCGCGACAGCGUGGGGAGCAAACAGG